GAUGAACGCUGGCGGCGUGCUUAACACAUGCAAGUCGAACGGAUUUAACAGAAAGCUUGCUUUCGGUUAAAUUAGUGGCGGACGGGUGAGUAACGCGUGGAUAACCUGCCGUAUACAGGGGGAUAACACUUAGAAAUAGGUGCUAAUACCGCAUAAGCGCACAGUUUCGCAUGAGACAGUGUGAAAAACUCCGGUGGUAUACGAUGGAUCCGCGUCUGAUUAGGUAGUUGGUGGGGUAACGGCCCACCAAGCCGACGAUCAGUAGCCGGCCUGAGAGGGUGAACGGCCACAUUGGGACUGAGACACGGCCCAAACUCCUACGGGAGGCAGCAGUGGGGAAUAUUGCACAAUGGGGGAAACCCUGAUGCAGCGACGCCGCGUGAGUGAAGAAGUAUUUCGGUACGUAAAGCUCUAUCAGCAAGGAAGAAAAAGACGGUACUUGACUAAGAAGCCCCGGCUAACUACGUG
rnacentral:rRNA from 1 species